rnacentral:rRNA from 1 species
AACGAACGCUGGCGGCAUGCCUAACACAUGCAAGUCGAACGGAUGGUCGCAAGACCAUUAGUGGCGGACGGGUGCGUAACGCGUGGGAACCUGCCUUGAAGUUCGGAAUAACUGCGGGAAACUGCAGCUAAUACCGGAUGUGGCCUGUGGGCCAAAGGGGAAACUCGCUUCAAGAGGGCCCGCGUCCGAUUAGCUAGUUGGCGGGUAACGGCCACCAAGGCGAUGAUCGGUAGCUGGUCUGAGAGGACGACCAGCCACACUGGAACUGAGAUACGGUCCAGACUCCUACGGGAGACAGCAGUGGGGAAUAUUGGACAAUGGGGCAACCCUGAUCCAGCAAUGCCGCGUGAGUGAUG